UGCGGAUCUGCCGGGGUUUCAGCAGAGGUGGCUACCCGGCUUCCCGAAGAAAUGAGCCGGUCACAGCUGAACCGGGCUAAAAGACGGGAAGAAAAACUAGCACGCCUGGCAUCUAAACACUGCAAGGUGCUUUGGGUGCAGCUGCAUCAUUCUGAGGAGUCAAGAGAAGACACUUGGUCAGCUAUGAAGAAGCAUCCGUUUAGGGCUUAAGAGACCACAUUUCUGACGCAAGAGACCACACUUCUGACUCAGCUCUUAGAUGAUCACUGGAUUAUCUGUUCAGGAUCUUUUUCCGUCUGGAUUCAGUCCACUGGAGAGGAGCAAAAAGAUUAGAAAAUGUUCAAAAGAUAAAAUUUACAAAGACAAGUUUCAACGAACUGUGUGGUUUUGAUCUAGAGAAGAGAAAACUCCCAGCGGAGGACCUCCCUCCACAGGCUAGAGCUUUCUAAUGGAAAAGCCAUGACUCAGUCCAGCCCGGGUCUGCUUUGCCAAUUCAGACAUCACAUCAAUUGGGCAGCAGGACUCCCAGAUUCUCUACCUUACUCCCAAGCUCCUUUCAUCUCACACGUAGAUUGAUACGCACUUGUUUAAGAUGCUGAGCAGAUGGUCUACUGUGUUUCUUCAUGUCCACCCUGCGACCCUAUUAUGCUAUCUGUUCUCCCACUUAGUUUUAAGUCUUUGUCCAAAUCACAGCAAAAAGGAGGAACAUAAUAAUCUAUUCUCCAUGUCCCUGGUGAAAUGAAGAAGAACCAACUUAACUGCAAUAUGGCAGAUUUAGUUUAAGACAUGUAGAAAAGCUUACAGGACUUAAGGGUGAUGGUAAUUGCAGUGGAAUAGAUCACUUGAGAAGACUAUGGAGUCUCCAUCCUCUCAGGUAUUUCAAAGUAGGCUGUGCAAAAAGCUGUCAGGAUCAAGAGUUCCUGCUGUUUGCCUUAGGCUCAGGAUGAUGCUGAAUAAAAUUGCAAAUUCCCUAUAUGAUGUGUCCACUGAGAGGCAAGGCAAAGAAAACACAUCUUCAUUUGCAAAAAAAAAAAAAAAAAGGAAACACAGUGUAAAUAGUGCUAUUGUCACACCGAAGAGAGGUAUUCAAUUUCCAGCACUGUCAUUCUAGUACUUUUCAGGAACGCUGAUUUUGCUUAAAUAUAUAAUGUCUAGCAUAGUUUAUAAAUCAACUUGUUGAAAUGUUAUUCCUUGUACAUCUGUGUCUGAAAUUGAUUUUCACCCUGACAGUUAUAACUGUAGCUCUAUAGUAACUUUUCUUUCACUUUGGUUUGAUUUUGUUAUAAAAUAUUUUUAAAGCAAAGGCUUAUUAUAGGCAGUAAUGAAUUAAAUUAAAAGGAGAAAAAAGGCCACUGUAAGUCAGGAAAUCUCGGUCUUUAGCCCUUAGAGAUGAAAAGAAAUCAGAGAGAGUUUUAAAUUGCAACAAAGAUCAAAAAGGAAAAAAAAUAAAACAAUAAAAUUGCAAAAAGGUCAGCAAGAGCAGAAAUUUCAGUUUGUAAAUCUGUAUAGCACUAGCUGUAACUUCUGUACUGAGGUUUGUUCUUCUGUAGCCAUCUAUCAAGAACAAAAUGUAAUUCUGGAUUAACAUGUGACAGAACAAUAUUGGGGUAAAAAGGAGAAGCAGCAGUGUAUUUCAUACCAAAUAGUGGUGAAUGACUGUUUACUGAGAAGCAAAGAACUGCUGAAACCCUGUUUUGCUGCACUGUGUGGAAUUCAAUCCAAGCAGAUGAUCCCAUCUGAAUUUAGACCUAGUUUCUUCUAGAUGGCUAUCUAUACAAGCAUCUGAAUACGUCUGCAAAGUGCUUGAAGAUGAAAUACAAAUAAUGGGAGGUGAUUCUAAAUUGCUUGGACUGUGAGCGAGCCAACCAUUUCCUUCAAAACCUACUUCCUGGACAGAUUCCAACCUUAUUUUCAAUUAAAACGAGAACAAACCAACUCUUGCUGUAUUUGCUCUUCGGAGACUCCUUGUCUGCCUCAAACUGCUGCUCUCCCGCAUGUGACUUCGUUUAAAAAAAUGAAACACUUUUCAGCCAUCUGUGUUUCUCGGCAUAGCAAGCAGCCUUAUGUAAUCGUGUUCUGCUGACCUCUCUCCUGCUGCAAGGCCGGUCCUCAUAGCCGUUGCGCUAGGAGGAAAUGGCAAGAGGCCUUUUGGAAUACUCUCUCCCAUAGCACGCUCAUAAAUCAGCCCUACAACUCCUACACUUCUGGGCACUGCAUCCGUUGUUGUGUCUGACACAGGGCCAUUCCCAGGUUUUUAAGCGUGUGUCCUGAUCUUGCCUUCUCAGCUGAGGAUUUGUGGGAGCGGAUGAGAAAUUCCAAAAUGUGAAUUCCUUCAGAAAGCAGCAUCACUCAGCUCUGGUGACGUGUCCGCGGCUUAUCAGAUGAGCAGCGUAUUGCACGUCACCCUGAACUUUACCAAAAUUAGUCAUCAAGCUAAUCCAUAAGAACCGGGAGAAGGGUAGUGGCUGCAUUGUUUGAAGGCCAGUUAAAUGAGAACAUAUGUGCUACUGGGGAACAGCUAUGUCACUCAGUCCAAAUUAUAUUGUGAAACAAAGCUGACACAGCCUCAAAACUAUUAAUUUCCUGUCUUGCUGACAAACUUCAGUACCCUGCUUAAAGACUGUGAGACUAGAAUCUCCCCACACCUUUCAGACUCUCUUACAAUUUUUCUAAAGGAAACCUGGAGUUGUUAGGUUAAAACUGAUAAGAAAUAACAACAAAGGUGCUGUUACAUUAUAGUACAGUAUUGCAACACAGGUCAUUUUGCCCUUGCUAUGGCAUUUUCUUGGCUGCCUCUUCAACAGCUCCUGUGGUCUAAGCACGUGGCAACUUCACUUGCAGCAGCAAAUCCAGAUAUAACAUAAUGCAGAACAAAUGUUUCUGUUCCUCAGUUUACUUCCCUCUGAAGAGGGCUUAUGGAAGUCCUUUCACCAGGAACCCAUUCUGAUGAUAGAUGACUGACCAGUUUUUGGUACCCUGUCCGAAGGACAUUACCUCUCCUACACUUGUACCAGCCUCCUGAAGAGCAGUCAUGUUUUUAGGGCUACUUUGGUUCAGCUAGCCACAAAGGCAGGUAGUUCCUUGCUUCCACCUCUGACUUCUGCCUGUGAACCACUUCUCAUCACUCACACUAACACAUACAAGAAUUGUAAAGCGGUAUUUUACCCUGUAACACACCAAGGUGUUAAAAGACUUGAACUAUGUCUAUAACAAUCGAGUUCCACAUGUGGAUGGAAAGCAACACCAACCUGAAAUAUCAACAGUAAAGUAUUAUGUCAUCUUG